AUCACUGAAGUUAAGCAAUGCUGAGCCUGAUCAGUACCUAGAUGGGUGACCACUUGGGAAUACCAGGUGCUGUAAGC